AACGAACGCUGGCGGCAGGCUUAACACAUGCAAGUCGAACGCCCCGCGAGGGGAGUGGCAGACGGGUGAGUAACGCGUGGGAAUCUACCUAGUUCUACGGAACAACAGUUGGAAACGACUGCUAAUACCGUAUACGCCCUACGGGGAAAGAUUUAUCGGAAUUAGAUGAGCCCGCGUAAGAUUAGCUAGUUGGUGAGGUA
rnacentral:rRNA from 1 species